GCCACUGGUGGGGGACACACUUCGGCGGAACGGAAAACCAGAAUUGUUCCACGGGCCAGUCCACCGAGGCUGAAGUCCAUAAGCCUUGGAGAGACCUUCAGCAGUAAUCUCCAAAAUCUAGAAUGACCACCCUGCCCCCGCUGCCCAUGACACGCCCAAAGCUUACAUCUUUAGCCAGACAGAAGCUGCCAUGUUCCCCUG